rnacentral:rRNA from 1 species
CUCUCUCAGUUCGGAUUGGAGUCUGCAACCCGACUCCAUGAAGCUGGAUUCGCUAGUAAUCGCGCAUCAGCCACGGCGCGGUGAAUACGUUCCCGGGCCUUGUACACACCGCCCGUCAAGCCAUGAAAGCCGGGGGUACCUGAAGUGCGUAACCGCGAGGAGCGCCCUAGGGUAAAACUGGUGAUUGGGGCUAAGUCGUAACAAGGUAAC